rnacentral:sRNA from 1 species
AGAUAAAAUGCUCAUCAGGGGACUUUACCCACAAGAUAAUGAGACAUUUUCGUCCAUCGUCGCGCCUUUUGUCUUCUGAAAAGUAAGACAUACCUCUCAUUAAGUCCUUAGGCUAAUGUUUUUGCUAUUUUUUUGAGCCAAAAAUAAAGGAUAAGAA